UACGGGGGGGCAAGCGUUGUUCGGAAUUACUGGGCGUAAAGGGCUCGUAGGCGGCCAACUAAGUCGGACGUGAAAUCCCCAGGCUCAACCUGGGAACUGCGUCCGAUACUGGAUGGCUUGAAUCCGGGAGAGGGAUGCAGAAUUCCAGGUGUAGCGGUGAAAUGCGUAGAUAUCUGGAGGAAUACCGGUGGCGAAGGCGGCAUCCUGGACCGGCAUUGACGCUGAGGAGCGAAAGCCAGGGAGCAAAGCGGG
rnacentral:rRNA from 1 species